GAUGAACGCUGACAGAAUGCUUAACACAUGCAAGUCUUUGGCGAAGCUGUGCUUGCACCGCCUAGCCAAGGCGGACGGGUGAGUAACGCGUAAGGAACUUGCCCUGCAGUCAGGGAUAACAGACGGAAACGACUGAUAAGACCUGGUAAAGUCAGGCGGACUCAUGUCCAGCCUGAUGAAAAGAGAUGCUGCAGGAGAGCCUUGCGUCCUAUUAGCUUGUUGGUGGGGUAACGGCCCACCAAGGCGAUGAUAGGUAGCCGGCCUGAGAGGGUGGACGGCCACAAGGGGACUGAGAUACGGCCCUUACUCCUACGGGAGGCAGCAGUGGGGAAUAUUGGACAAUGGGAGCAACCCUGAUCCAGCAAUUCUGUGUGCACGAUGAAGGUUUUCGGAUUGUAAAGUGCUUUCAGCAGGGAAGAAAAAAUGACGGUACCUGCAGAAGAAGCGACGGCUAAAUACGUG
rnacentral:rRNA from 1 species